rnacentral:lncRNA from 1 species
GUAAAGUUAAUUUAAUUUAACAUGUCUAUCAAACACGCUUCUCAAGUAAGAUUAACAUUAAAAAAAACCAUGUAGCAUUAGGUUAUAACAUGAUAUAAGAGGGGCAAAAGAAUCCAGAGGGAUACUCAAAUUCAUUAAUCGAAAAUAAAACCACGCCUUGUUAAAAAAAGAAAAAAAAAAAAACAAAAACAAACUGACAGACAAUAGUACAAAAAACACAAAAUAGAAAACUAAAGACUAAGCAACAGCAACCCCCAACAAAAUCUGGGGGUAUUUUCAGGUACCCCGGAAGGAAAAACAGAUCCUGCACGACAAUGGGUACUUCUUGUGUUACU